UCCCGGGAAACGGCGGGCGAGUGCCCCAAGCGGGCCUUCUAAGGCCUUAUCCCAGCCUGGCGUUUCCGAACCGCCUGGGAGAAAGGUGAAGAGUAGCUAGUCAGCUCUAAAACAUGAGUACACAGGGCGUAUGCACAACAGGAACGUGCAAACCAACUCUCCCCAAAAGCAUCUCAGGCAGGCCCUAAGCAGACCCCUCUGCAAGGCAACUUGUGUUUAGACUUCAGACUUAUCAGCUGCUGAAACUGAGAAAAGAAACUGGGUAUCUUCAAGGAAAACAGACUAAUGAAUGGAUUUUGCUAUUUCCUUCCCAGCUGGGUUAAAUGUACUGCUGAAGCAGCCACGCACCAGAGUUGAGUGGACAGCUGGUGACUGAAAGGCUAUCUAUGCCAUAACUGCAAUUGCAGCUGUCAUCACCUUUGAAGCUGUUUCUCUUAGAAACCAUGAAGAUGCGUGGGAGAGGAAGUUGGCUAACAAUCAUCAUGAACAGAUGAUUCACCUGAAGAAGCAGAAAUUAUGUACAUCCAAGCUCCCAGCAUCCACAACAUCUCCCUCACUUUCUCAAAUGGUUCAUGGAAAGGAAAGCACGUAUCUGUGGCCAGUGUCCCCCACUGUGAUUAGCCUAACAGCAUUUUGUAAGUCAAGCCACUGAAGCAGUCCAGCUGGAGGACGAUGGUCCUUCUCGGAUGUCCCGGCCAGCUAUCCAGCACCGCUAGCAGUACGGAGGCACUAUCCCGAGCUCCGUGGUUCGGGACAGCACCUAAGGCAAACGCUCUGUGCUAUGACAGCAGCGUGACCUUGUGGUAGGAUGUGGCUUGGCUUAUGGCUACAGUCAGCAGAAACAAGAAGAGAGUGCUCUCCAGCUGUGGUGAAUCCAGGUUUAUUGGGUCCCACGGGAAACCAACAAAGAGAAAGAGGGAGGGCUUGCAACAGCUUACAAGGAGGGAGGGACACAGGGGAGGAGUCAGUCCUUGGACAAAUAGAGUUUUAGAGGGGAGUGGGAUACAAAAGAUUGACAUAGGGAGAACACCAAUGGGGAUAACUUGAGGGUGGGGCCCCAGCCCCCCCAGCCCCUGAGCCAAUCACUUCACGCUCUAGCUGGAAGUUUCUAGAGAGUUCUAGAGAGAAGGGUGGGAGCACCGAGUGAUGGACAGGGCACCGGGGAGGGAUUUGAGAAAGGGUACAUUGAUCUCCAAAGCAACUGGGGAGGAGUUGGGAUAACUGGCAGCACAAGGGAGGGAAGGGAGAAGCAGGGCAGAACCAUUGCAUGAUAGGGGGAACAGAACAGACACAACACAACAAGCCACCAUUCUCUGUGUCUGAGCAGAGAAUUCAUUCCCUCCCCCCUCCCCCGUUAUCAGGUUCCAAAGGUUCAGUGAACCAAGCAGACAAAGCAAAGAGAUUUCUUUUUGACCCUCCUGACUGUCUCAAGGUUGCUGAGCACCAUGACAAUUGCUGCCUUCCCUGCCAGCCCUGAAGGCCCCAGGCACCCAGCCAGGGAUGUGCUGUUGUUGACUCUCAGGGAAGCCUAACAGCCUACAGAGCUGUCUGUAAAAUCAGCAGGUUCUAAGUGGAGAACUUGGACCCAAACUGCUGCUGGACUGAGAGACUCAACACUUCCCCAUGACUAGAGGUUUGAGGGAGUCACUGUAUUCUUGUAUAUGAAUGUGAGUCUAGAUUAUGAUUGUUAUAUUGAUAUAGCAAACCACAUAUUAAGACCUGACUUGACCUGCAGAGAGUCCAGGUGAUUAGAAAUUGUAAAAUUAAUUGCAUUGCAAGUGGUGUAUUAUGGAGUUAUAAAUUGUACUACAUUGAUUCUGCUUCUAGAAAUCCUGUGCCUUACUAACUAAAAUUCCAUUCUAUACUAACCCUAGUAGACUGUGAAGAAAAUAAAGUUUUAAUUGUAACUACAGGUUAGUGUAAUCAUUGUUAUACCCAGCAUCCUUAGAAGAACCUGUCUGUCCCCUUUGUGUCAUAUGACAGAACAGAAAGCAAAUGAGCUUGAAGAACCAGAACAAACAAGUUUGUGCACUUCUAACAUUCAC